rnacentral:rRNA from 1 species
UACGUAGGGGGCAAGCGUUGUCCGGAAUUAUUGGGCGUAAAGGGCACGCAGGCGGUGAUUUAAGUUUGGUGUUUAAUCCCAGGGCUCAACCCUGGUACGCACUGAAAACUGGGUCACUUGAGUGCAGAAGAGGAGAGUGGAAUUCCCAGUGUAGAGGUGAAAUUCGUAGAUAUUGGGAAGAACACCGGUGGCGAAGGCGGCUCUCUGGACCGACACUGACGCUGAGGCGCGAAAGCGUGGGGAGCAAACAGG